AUCCAGCUGACGAGUCUCAAAUAGAGCGAAACGCGCGUCCUGGAU
rnacentral:hammerhead_ribozyme from 1 species